GACGAACGCUGGCGGCGUGCUUAACACAUGCAAGUCGAACGGUGAAGCGCCUUCCUUUUUGGUGGGUGUGGAUGAGUGGCGAACGGGUGAGUAACACGUGAGUAACCUGCCCCCUUCUUCUGGAUAACCGCAUGAAAGUGUGGCUAAUACGGGAUAUUCUGGGUCUGUCGCAUGAUGGGUCUUGGAAAGAUAUUGUUUCGGUGGGGGAUGGGCUCGCGGCCUAUCAGCUUGUUGGUGGGGUGAUGGCCUACCAAGGCGGUGACGGGUAGCCGGCCUGAGAGGGUGGACGGUCACACUGGGACAGAGACACGGCCCAGACUCCUACGGGAGGCAGCAGUGGGGAAUAUUGCACAAUGGGCGCAAGCCUGAUGCAGCGACGCCGCGUGAGGGAGGGAGGCCUGCGGGUUGUGAACCUCUUUCGCCAGUGAAGCAGGCCUGCCUCGUUUGUGGGUGGGUUGACGGUAGCUGGAUAAGAAGCGCCGGCUAACUACGUG
rnacentral:rRNA from 1 species